GAUGAACGCUGGCGGCGUGCCUAAUACAUGCAAGUCGAGCGAACAGACGAGGAGCUUGCUCCUCUGACGUUAGCGGCGGACGGGUGAGUAACACGUGGAUAACCUACCUAUAAGACUGGGAUAACUUCGGGAAACCGGAGCUAAUACCGGAUAAUAUAUUGAACCGCAUGGUUCAAUAGUGAAAGACGGUUUUGCUGUCACUUAUAGAUGGAUCCGCGCCGCAUUAGCUAGUUGGUAAGGUAACGGCUUACCAAGGCAACGAUGCGUAGCCGACCUGAGAGGGUGAUCGGCCACACUGGAAGUGAGACACGGUCCAGACUCCGACGGGAGGCAGCAGUAGGGAAUCUUACGCAAUGGGCGAGAGCCUGACGGAGCAACGCCGCGUGAGUGAUGAAGGUCUUCGGAUCGUAAAACUCUGUUAUUAGGGAAGAACAAAUGUGUAAGUAACUAUGCACGUCUUGACGGUACCUAAUCAGAAAGCCACGGCUAACUACGUG
rnacentral:rRNA from 1 species